AGGACGAACGCUGGCGGCGUGCUUAACACAUGCAAGUCGAGCGAGGCCCUUCCUUCGGGAAGGUGCCCUAGCGGCGAACGGGUGAGUAACACGUGGGCAAUCUGCCCCUAGCACUGGGAUAACUCCGGGAAACCGGGGCUAAUACCGGAUAUGACCUCUGAGGGCAUCCUCUGGAGGUGGAAAGGAUCCUGGCUAGGGAUGAGCCCGCGGCCUAUCAGCUUGUUGGUGGGGUAACAGCCUACCAAGGCGACGACGGGUAGCCGGCCUGAGAGGGCGACCGGCCACACUGGGACUGAGACACGGCCCAGACUCCUACGGGAGGCAGCAGUGGGGAAUAUUGCACAAUGGGCGAAAGCCUGAUGCAGCGACGCCGCGUGAGGGAUGACGGCCUUCGGGUUGUAACCUCUUUCAGCAGGGACGAAGCGAAGUGACGGUACCUGCAGAAGAAGCACCGGCCAACUACGCGCCAGCAGCCGC
rnacentral:rRNA from 1 species